rnacentral:rRNA from 1 species
UACAGAGGGGGCAAGCGUUGUUCGGAAUUACUGGGCGUAAAGGGCUCGUAGGCGGCCAACUAAGUCAGACGUGAAAUCCCUAGGCUCAACCUAGGAACUGCGUCUGAUACUGGAUGGCUUGAAUCCGGGAGAGGGAUGCAGAAUUCCAGGUGUAGCGGUGAAAUGCGUAGAUAUCUGGAGGAAUACCGGUGGCGAAGGCGGCAUCCUGGACCGACAUUGACGCUGAGGAGCGAAAGCUAGGGGAGCAAACGGG